AACGAACGCUGGCGGCAUGCCUAACACAUGCAAGUCGAACGAUUGCCUUCGGGUGAUAGUGGCGCACGGGUGCGUAACGCGUGGGAAUCUGCCCUUAGGUUCGGAAUAACAGCUGGAAACGGCUGCUAAUACCGGAUGAUAUCGCGAGAUCAAAGAUUUAUCGCCUGAGGAUGAGCCCGCGUUGGAUUAGGUAGUUGGUGGGGUAGAGGCCUACCAAGCCGACGAUCCAUAGCUGGUCUGAGAGGAUGAUCAGCCACACUGGGACUGAGACACGGCCCAGACUCCUACGGGAGGCAGCAGUGGGGAAUAUUGGACAAUGGGCGCAAGCCUGAUCCAGCAAUGCCGCGUGAGUGAUGAAGGCCCUAGGGUUGUAAAGCUCUUUUACCCGGGAAGAUAAUGACUGUACCGGGAGAAUAAGCCCCGGCUAACUCCGUG
rnacentral:rRNA from 1 species